AUAGCGUAUAUUAAAGUUGUUGAGGUUAAAAAGCUCGUAGUUGAACCUUGGGCCUAGCCGGCCGGUCCGCCUCACCGCGUGCACUGGCUCGGCUGGGCCUUUCCUUCUGGGGAACCGCAUGCCCUUCACUGGGUGUGCUGGGGAACCAGGACUUUUACUCUGAAUAAAUUAGAUCGUUUAAAGAAGGCCUAUGCUCGAAUACAUUAGCAUGGAAUAAUAAAAUAGGACGUGUGGUUCUAUUUUGUUGGUUUCUAGAGCCGCCGUAAUGAUUAAUAGGGACAGUCGGGGGCAUCAGUAUUCAAUUGUCAGAGGUGAAAUUCUUGGAUUUACUGAAGACUAACUACUG
rnacentral:rRNA from 1 species